rnacentral:rRNA from 1 species
UACGUAGGGUGCAAGCGUUAAUCGGAAUUACUGGGCGUAAAGCGUGCGUAGGCGGUUCGUUAAGUCUGUUGUGAAAGCCCCAGGCUCAACCUGGGAACUGCACUCGAAACUGCCUUUCUUGAGUGCCGGAGAGGAAAGCGGAAUUCCUGGUGUAGAGGUGAAAUUCGUAGAUAUCAGGAGGAGCACCAGUGGCGAAGGCGGCUUUCUGGACGGUAACUGACGCUGAGACGCGAAAGCGUGGGGAGCAAACAGG